UACGGAGGGUGCGAGCGUUGUUCGGAAUUACUGGGCGUAAAGGGCUCGUAGGUGGCCAACUAAGUCAGACGUGAAAUCCCUCGGCUUAACCGGGGAGCUGCGUCUGAUACUGGAUGGCUUGAGUUCGGGAGAGGGAUGCGGAAUUCCAGGUGUAGCGGUGAAAUGCGUAGAUAUCUGGAGGAACACCGGUGGCGAAGGCAGGUACCUGGACUAUUACUGACGCUCAGCUGCGAAAGCUAGGGGAGCAAAUAGG
rnacentral:rRNA from 1 species